AACGAAUCAUAUAUGAGGAGUGUGUACAGAGUGUACUAAAGCGAAUGUCAAGGAGUGUUGCUUGGUGAAGCAGAAAACCAACUUUCUGUUUAAACUAUUCGAAGUUAUACCAAGCAACUACAAAGGCCAACAUGGGGACAGGGUUUUUAAUAUUCAUAAUUCUCUUUUCAAUUAUAUUUUUGUUGCAAAUAGUUGGCUUCUUCUCUCCAUAUUGGGAUAUACAGUGUGUGAAAAAUUAUGAUCCGAACAUUACUAAUUCAAACAACGAGACAUGUUUUAACCAGGGAUUGUUUUUUGGAUGUGACGACAGUGGAAAAUGUAGACUAACAAACAUUAUAGACAGUAGAAUUUUUGGAUUAGCAGUAGCCAUAAUUUUUGGGAACAUUGUUGUAUUGGUUCUUUUGAUACUUGUCCUGGCUCAUGUAUGCGAUGAUAACAAAAAAUUAAUGAAGACAGGAGCAAUGUUAUUGUUUGCAGUUACAGAGAUAUUGAAUAUUGCUUCGACAAUAAUUGUUUGGCUGGACAGUUACACUAUUGGUUGGAGUUGGUGGGUGUCUGCCUGGUCUGCAGUCAUUCUUAUAGCCAUCAUUGCAUUAACAUGCCUGUGUGCUAUCAUGUCAUCCGAUGAAAAGGAGGGAAACAGCAAUAGCCACAAACGUUAUUUUAUUUACUACUAUGUUGUAGAAGUUGAUUGAAUAAUUCAUCGUGAAUAAAAAAUUACCCCUUAAUUUAUUUAUAUAAUUAUUCAUCUAAAACAUCUGCCAUUUUUAAAGGAAGAGGUACGUUAAGAGCCAUUAUUUGACUUCGGAAACUGCAAAAAUAAUUUAUUAAGUUAUUCGAGCGUUCCAAAAUUAUGUACAUUUGCCUUAUAAAUAAAAAGUUUAUAAAAGCUGGGCACUUUGGUGCAUAAUA